rnacentral:rRNA from 1 species
UACGUAGGGGGCGAGCGUUAUCCGGAUUUAUUGGGCGUAAAGCGUGCGCAGGCGGUUUAUUAAGUUUAAGAUAAAAGCCCGGGGCUUAACUCCGGUUCGUCUUAAAAACUGGUAGACUUGAGUGUGGUAGAGGUAAAUGGAAUUUCUAGUGUAGCGGUGAAAUGCGUAGAUAUUAGAAGGAACACCGGUGGCGAAAGCGAUUUACUGGGCCACUACUGACGCUGAGGCACGAAAGCGUGGGUAGCAAAUA